rnacentral:rRNA from 1 species
UUGCAGUUUUUUUGUUUUUUUUGUUUUAUGUUUUUUUUUGUAAAAUAUUUAAAUUUUUUUAUAUUUUUUUGUAAUAUUGAAAAUUUGGUGUUUGAACUGGAUUAGUACCCAGGUAAUCAAAAUUUAUUAAUUCGGGAGUAAAGUUUUGUUUAAACCGAAAAAAUAUUGACUGACUUUAGAUUUUUCUUUGGAACAUGUGUUUUUUUUGGAGAGCCCUCUUUUAUAGUAAAUUUUGUUGGCACAUGUAUGAUUGUUUAGUUUUUACUUUUUUGGUAAUGCUUUUUUUUGUUUUUAUCAUUUAAAACAGAUAUAUAUUUGGCUUAUGGAUUUAUUUUUCAUGUGUUACUAUUAUUAAUUUUUUUUGGAUUGAUUUUUAAUUUUAUUGUUGAAAUUGGAAAAGAAAGUAAUUUUUUUUUGAUGUAGAAAUGAAUUUAAAAAAUAAAGUGGUACAAACCAUCCCCUCAUA